rnacentral:rRNA from 1 species
GCAAGUCGAGGGGUAACAGGGGAGCUUGCUUCCGCUGACGACCGGCGCACGGGUGAGUAAUGCGUAUGUAACCUACCUUAUGCAGGGGGAUAGCCCGAAGAAAUUCGGAUUAAUACCCCAUAAUACUGUUUUACCGCAUGAUAAGACAGUUAAAACGUUGGUGGCAUAAGAUGGGCAUGCGUCCUAUUAGAUAGUUGGUGAGGUAACGGCUCACCAAGUCAGCGAUAGGUAGGGGUCCUGAGAGGGAGAUC